rnacentral:rRNA from 1 species
UUAAUUGAAGAGUUUGAUCAUGGCUCAGAUUGAACGCUGGCGGCAGGCCUAACACAUGCAAGUCGAGCGGUAACAGAUUGAUAGCUUGCUAUCAAUGCUGACGAGCGGCGGACGGGUGAGUAAUGCCUGGGAAUAUGCCCUGAUGUGGGGGAUAACUAUUGGAAACGAUAGCUAAUACCGCAUAAUCUCUUCGGAGCAAAGAGGGGGACCUUCGGGCCUCUCGCGUCAGGAUUAGCCCAGGUGGGAUUAGCUUGUUGGUGGGGUAAUGGCUCACCAAGGCAACGAUCCCUAGCUGGUCUGAGAGGAUGAUCAGCCACACUGGAACUGAGACACGGUCCAGACUCCUACGGGAGGCAGCAGUGGGGAAUAUUGCACAAUGGGGGAAACCCUGAUGCAGCCAUGCCGCGUGUAUGAAGAAGGCCUUCGGGUUGUAAAGUACUUUCAGUUGUGAGGAAGGCGUUGGAGUUAAUAGCUUCA